rnacentral:rRNA from 1 species
CCUACGGGAGGCAGCAGUGGGGAAUAUUGCGCAAUGGGGGAAACCCUGAUGCAGCGACGCCGCGUGAGUGAAGAAGUCAUUCGGGAUGUAAAGCUCUAUCAGCAGGGAAGAAAAUGACGGUACCUGACCAAGAAGCCCCGGCUAACUACGUGCCAGCAGCCGCGGUAAUACGUAGGGGGCAAGCGUUAUCCGGAUUUACUGGGUGUAAAGGGAGCGUAGACGGUUUUGCAAGUCAGGAGUGAAAGCCCGGGGCCCAACCCCGGGACUGCUCUGGGAACUGUGUGGCUGGAGUGCAGGAGAGGCAGGCGGAAUUCCUGGUGUAGCGGUGAAAUGCGUAGAUAUUAGGAGGAACACCAGUGGCGAAGGCGGCCUGCUGGACUGUAACUGACGUUGAGGCUCGAAAGCGUGGGGAGCAAACAGGAUUAGAUACCCCGGUAGUC